GAGUUUGAUUCUGGCUCAGGAUGAACGCUGGCGGCGUGCUUAACACAUGCAAGUCGAACGAAGCGAGAAGAAAGAAGUUUUUCGAAAUGGAUUUUUUCUUUGCUUAGUGGCGGACGGGUGCGUAACACGUAGGUAACCUGCCCUGUGCUUGGGAAUAACUCCGGGAAACCGGUGCUAAUGCCGAAUAAUAUCGCCUGUCGGCAUCGAGAGGCGAUCAAAGAAUGUUGGCACAGGAUGGGCCUGCGCCGGAUUAGCUGGUUGGUGAGGUAACGGCUCACCAAGGCGACGAUCCGUAGCCGACCUGAGAGGGUGAUCGGCCACACUGGAACUGAGACACGGUCCAGACUCCUACGGGAGGCAGCAGUGGGGAAUAUUGCACAAUGGGGGAAACCCUGAUGCAGCAACGCCGCGUGAGCGAUGAAGGCUUUCGAGUCGUAAAGCUCUGUCCUAUGGGAAGAUGAUGACGUACCUAGAGNGCC
rnacentral:rRNA from 1 species